AACGAACGCUGGCGGCAUGCCUAACACAUGCAAGUCGAACGAGACCUUCGGGUCUAGUGGCGCACGGGUGCGUAACGCGUGGGAACCUGCCCUUAGGUUCGGAAUAACUCCCCGAAAGGGGUGCUAAUACCGGAUAAUGUCUUCGGACCAAAGAUUUAUCGACUUUGGGUGGGCCCGCGUUGGAUUAGCUAGUUGGUAGGGUAAAAGCCUACCAAGGCGACGAUCCAUAGCUGGUCUGAGAGGAUGAUCAGCCACACUGGGACUGAGACACGGCCCAGACUCCUACGGGAGGCAGCAGUGGGGAAUAUUGGACAAUGGGCGAAAGCCUGAUCCAGCAAUGCCGCGUGAGUGAUGAAGGCCUUAGGGUUGUAAAGCUCUUUUACCCGGGAUGAUAAUGACAGUACCGGGAGAAUAAGCUCCGGCUAACUCCGUG
rnacentral:rRNA from 1 species